UUGGAGAUGGGGAUACUCCCUGGGUACC
rnacentral:piRNA from 1 species